UACGUAUCAAGAGUGCGACGAGAGUUCCGGCUUUAUGACUCGCCAGCAACCUGCCGAAGGUAAGGUGCUCCAUCCGGCCCCUAGCGGGAAGAUGCUUU
rnacentral:ncRNA from 2 species